AGCAGUCGCCGCGGUAAUGCGAAGGGGGCUAGCGUUGUUCGGAAUUACUGGGCGUAAAGCGCACGUAGGCGGAUAUUUAAGUCAGGGGUGAAAUCCCAGAGCUCAACUCUGGAACUGCCUUUGAUACUGGGUAUCUUGAGUAUGGAAGAGGUGAGUGGAAUUCCGAGUGUAGAGGUGAAAUUCGUAGAUAUUCGGAGGAACACCAGUGGCGAAGGCGGCUCACUGGUCCAUUACUGACGCUGAGGUGCGAAAGCGUGGGGAGCAAACAGGAUUAGAUACCCCUGUAGUCCCUGUCUCUUAUAC
rnacentral:rRNA from 1 species